GGCUAGCGAAUGCAAUUAGUUUUUCCUGACUAAUCAAUCUUGUUCAAUAUUCUCAAAAUCGAUUGGAACAAUACAUUUUAAAGCCAAUAAAUCAAACUAAUUGUGAUGGAAUCCUGAACACGUAUUCAUAAAAUCCAAACCCUGAGACUGCGUGCUAGAAUUGUUCUCUCUUUUCCUUUUAUCUCAAAGUUCUUAACUAUAACGUUGUAUCAAUUUUCCAUAAUUUCCUGAAUAAUUAAAAAAAAAUCAGGAGUGAAGUUACAAUUAUGCUUACAAGUUCGACAAAACUCAUAACUUUGACCACAAGGGAGGAUUUAGGUCCAAAUUAUGGGGUACGAUAAUCCCAUAAUUUUUUUCCCAAACUAGAUAUUUUAUGUAUAUAUUUAUUAAUCUAAUAUUAUUUGUCGGUUCUUAUGCUCUAAAAAGGUAAAUGGCAUACCCGAUAAUUUUUUUCCCAAACUAGAUAUUUUAUAUAUAUAUUUACUAAUCUAAUAUUAUUUGUCGGUUCUUAUGCUCUAAAAAGGUAAAUGGCAUACCCGAUUGAAUGCUAAGUUAUUUACUAGAAAAAAGAGGGAUCAAUUCCCAUUAAUUUUUUUUUUUUUUGUGCGCCCAUAUUUAAAUAAUCUUAAAUCCUCCUUUGUUUUGGCCUAAAAUCUAUUUAAAAAUUCACCUGAUAUUUAUAGAAGAUUUAUCUAAAAUCCAAUAAGCUUUUUUCCUUGAAAAUGUAAAACCCAUAAACUCAAUAUUCUAUCACCACCUAUAAGAAAAGAAAGUUUAUUAUAAUUUCAAAACAAACAUACUAAGUACGUUGUUACAAAACCUCUAUAUCAGAAAUCCAGAAAUAAAUUUACUAAAUUGAAAAGUCAAAAAAAAAAAAAGAAGAAGAAGAAGAAGAAACAACAACAAGAGAGAUUAUUAGAAAUCCUCAAAUAAGGACGUGUUUGGAUAACAGGAAACUGAAAAUUAAGAUCUAGAGUAACAAUUAAGUUUCUCUACCUUGGAGGUGGAGAUAGAGGAAGAGGAGCGAGGUAUCUAGUGAAAAACAGCCGCAAGCUUGGUAAUAUGCGAAGAGGAUUAUACGUCGUCGUUUGACGGAUAAAAUCCUCUAUCGAUUCCACGAACAAAUUCAAGCUCCUUAUCGGCGGCACGUAUAGUGUCAGCGGUGCCGCCGAGAACGCCACCGCGAAGAACACCUCCAACAUUCCUUUAAACCGCCGUCAACAAUCACCGUAAAGUCAACACAGCCGUUGAUUUUGGCACUCCGGCGAAUAAU
rnacentral:lncRNA from 1 species